CAGAGGCCAUUUGGCAUUUACGCAAAGACGAUGCAGGAGAUUACGUCUCGAGAAUGGCUGCCUCUGAGGUGGUUUUAUCCCUUUGUGACACCAUAGGCCGCCUACCAUCUCUCUCUCUCUCUCUAAAGUUGUGAUUUUCUCAUUCAAUGUUCAGCUAUUUUCUCUGUCCAUAAUUCACAUCCUUUUAGGGAUCAUCCGUUAUCUUCCUCUCUUUUUAUAUUGUCGUCUCGACCAAAGGCCAACUUUUAAGGGUUUUGCAAAUUUCACAUUCAAAUCUGGGAUUUUCCUCCAAAAGAUUAUGAUUGAAGUUGAAGAGAUUGGGGCUGAGAUUUGAGAAACGGUACGAAUAGAGAAGUCAAAAUUGGGUAUUAAUUGCGGGUUGAUUUUAAUAUCCAAUAAUAUUGAACCUUGGGCUCUUACUUACGGCGAGCUUGAUGCACCUGUUUGUUUUAGACGAAGAGGGGGUGGGUUUCAUAUACCAAGGACUAAAACGACAGACGUCGUAAGAUUGAAAAUCUGGUUUUGUUAUCUUUCAAUAAUUUUUUCUUGGUGACCAAGCGGGGGUUAUUGUAAGUUGAUUCAAUGGAUCACCUUAUGAUGGUUGAUGACCCAUUGGGUGACAGUUCGGAUCUAGAAGUUGAUGACAUUAGGUGUGAAAACAUUGCGGAGAAAGAUGUGAGUGAUGAAGAGAUUGAAGCAGAAGAAUUGGAGAGACGAAUGUGGAAAGACCGUAUCAGACUCAAAAGGAUUAAGGAAAGACAGAAGCUCGUAGCGCAACAAGCUGCAGACAAGCAGAAGCCCAAGCAGACCUCUGAUCAGGCUCGGAGGAAGAAAAUGUCUAGAGCACAAGAUGGGAUUCUAAAAUACAUGCUGAAGCUGAUGGAAGUGUGCAAAGCUCGUGGAUUUGUGUAUGGUAUCAUUCCUGAGAAGGGUAAGCCAGUGAGUGGUGCUUCUGAUAACAUCAGAGCUUGGUGGAAAGAGAAAGUGAAGUUUGAUAAGAAUGGGCCAGCAGCCAUAGCCAAGUACGAAGCCGAGUGUCUUGCCAUGGGGGAGGCAGAUAAUAUUCGAACCGGGAACUCUCAAAGCAGUCUCCAAGAUCUGCAAGAUGCAACUCUGGGGUCACUUUUGUCUUCUUUGAUGCAACAUUGUGACCCCCCUCAAAGGAGGUUCCCGCUAGAAAGGGGACUUCCACCGCCUUGGUGGCCAACUGGGAAUGAAGAUUGGUGGGCAAGUUUAGGGCUGUCCCAUGGUCAAAGUCCUCCUUAUAAGAAGCCACAUGAUUUGAAGAAGAUGUGGAAAGUUGGAGUAUUAACAGCUGUGAUAAAGCAUAUGUCACCUGAUAUUUCAAAGAUACGGAGGCAUGUCCGCCAGUCAAAGUGCUUACAGGAUAAGAUGACAGCAAAAGAGAGUGCAAUCUGGUUGGGAGUUUUAAGCAGAGAGGAAGCUCUAAUUCGGCAACCUAGUAGUGAUAAUGGGGCAUCUAGUGUAACUGAUAUGCCACGACGUGGCCGUGGUGAAAAUAAGCAAGCUGCAAUUAGUAGUGAAAGUGACUAUGAUGUAGAUGGUGUUGACGAUGGUGUAGGUUCUGUUUCAUCUAAAGAUGAUCGGCGGAAUCAACCGGCAGAUGUAGAAACUUCAGAAAAUCUACGGAAUAGCACUCCUCCUGUGCAGGAUAAAGAUCCGGGGGAAAAGCAACCAAGGAGAAAAAGAGCUCGUGUCAGAUCUAACCCUUCUGAUCAAUUGCCUGCAACGACUCACAAUGAACAUCUACAUGCUGAGCCAAGAAUCACUGUGCCUGAUGUAAACGACGCCAACGGGCAGUUAGUUGAAUUCCAGAUCCAUGGAGGUAGAGAAGAAAAUGGUACAGUUAGUGCUUUGAGGCCCCUGGAGAAAGAUACUGGUGACCAGCUCCAGCUACCUGCAUCUGAAUGUAAUCGUUUCUCUGAUCUACCUUCUGACAAUGUAAUUUCCACACAGAGCAUGUAUGUGGACGGGAGGCCGUUGCUUCAUCCUGUGGUGCAAAAUACUGAGAUGCAUCAUGAUGAUGCUAGCAACUUUUAUAAUGACUGGCAGCAGUCUCAGAUUGUAAUGAAUGAACCUCAAAUUAGGCCGGAGGAAGUUGGAGUCAUACCAAUGCUGGAUAGAAGUGCAAAUGAGAUUCCUGGAGGAGACCUGCGCUACUAUGUAAAAGACACAUUUACAAAUGAGCAACAUCGACCUGUUGAUUCACAGUAUGGUUCUGGAAUCGAUAGCCUGCCAUUAGAUUUUGGAGAAUUGAACAGCCCCUUCCAUCUUGGAUUUGAUAGCUUGAGUCAAUUUGAUGACUUUUUACCUGAUGAGGACUUGAUCCAAUACUUUGGUGCAUAAAAAAUUAGUGCAGCUGAUACUUCAGAGCUUAGAUUGGAUUGCAAAAAUUGCAGCAUCCAUUGCUGACCUAGCUUAAGAUCUUCCUGCCGACUCAUUGGACAUGCUUUCAGUUUUGGUGUUUUCAUUUGUGCAUUGGAUGAGGGGGACGUGACCCAUGGUUUUCAAGGACUAUGCCACUAUCUGGAGGUUGCAUCUAUCUGUUUAGACCAAAUAACUAAGGUGUAUCCCCACCCCCAAAAAAAAAACCCUCUCUAAGUGGGGUAUGCACCCUUGGUCGAAGACUCGAAUCUAUAGACUUAAUUAUGGCAAUGACCCCAAGUUCUGGGUCAGUCAUGUUUGGCAGUGAGUCCAAGCUGUAAAUAUUAGUCUUCCUCCCCACACUCUUCCUCACUUCCACCAGUCAGGAGACUACAAUAGUAAUGAAGGCGUUGCAGAGGUAAUGAGGCAAAGGAAAUUGAAGGCUGCCUCUAUUUUGAGAUAAAUGACAAAGUUGAGACUUGCUAUGCAUGCCUACAUUGCAUUCAUGUCUAACUGGCCUUAUAUGACAAAUAUAAGGGCAGUUCCAGUUGGAGGAAUAUUUAAUUAUUCUUGUGUCAUAUAAGGCCAGUUCCAAUUUGAGGAAUAUUCACCCGAGGACAUUUCAAAGAGUCAUAAUCUUCUAACCAUAGCAAUCCCUUGAUCAUACAAGUGGCCAAAUCACUUGCUGGAGACUUUUAGGCAGCUGAUAGUGGCAAAAUCAAGCAGCAGCUGAAUGGAAAUGGAACCAAACGAAUGAAAGCGAAAUGGAGUUGAGAGUUUGGAAUUCUUACACGCCCCCAAUAUUUAUUUUGAAGUUAUUUUUUAUCCAAUUGACAAUGUGAGUCUAAGGCUGAGAUAUACUAUAAACAAUGUUUGGUAUAAUUUAACUAUU